GACGAACGCUGGCGGCGUGCUUUACACAUGCAAGUCGAACGGUGAAGGUGGAGCUUGCUCCGCCGGAUCAGUGGCGAACGGGUGAGUAACACGUGGGCAACCUGCCCCUAACUUUGGGAUAACUACUCGAAAGAGUAGCUAAUACCGGAUAUGAAGUCUGUAGGCAUCUACGGAUUUGGAAAGCUUUUCGGUUAGGGGUGGGCCCGCGGCCUAUCAGCUUGUUGGUGAGGUAGUGGCUCACCAAGGCGACGACGGGUAGCCGGCCUGAGAGGGCGACCGGCCACACUGGGACUGAGACACGGCCCAGACUCCUACGGGAGGCAGCAGUGGGGAAUAUUGCGCAAUGGGCGAAAGCCUCACGCAGCAACGCCGCGUGCGGGAUGAAGGCCUUCGGGUUGUAAACCGCUUUCAGCAGGGAAGAAGCGAAAGUGACGGUACCUGCAGAAGAAGCACCGGCUAACUACGUGCCAGCCGCCGCCGUAA
rnacentral:rRNA from 1 species